GUGAGCUGCUGUCUUACUAAUCUAAUCGGUAUCAACAGCCCACACUGCUCACAUCUGCUAAAAUUGGAAUGAUAAACAGAAAAUAUAGCUUGGUCCUUGCACAAGGAUGGCCUGCAAAUUUGUGAAACAUCACACACACAC
rnacentral:snRNA from 1 species